GCGGUCAACCCUACUUAAUCAUCAGGCAAUCCACACUGGAGAGAGACCCCAUAAAUGCUUAAUCUGUGGAAAAAGUUACAUACAAAGGUCCCAUCUUGUUAGACAUCAGGCAAUCCACACAGGAGAGAGACCCCAUAAGUGCUUAGACUGUGGGGAGAGUUUCACACGGAGGUCAGACCUUG